rnacentral:pre_miRNA from 1 species
UUGGAGGAUUUGAAGUCUUCAACUUGCAUACUUAAAGGAUUAGAAGACUCAACUUUCAUACUUGGUUGAAUUUGGAAACAUCAACU